GUUUACCUUCGAAUCUGCGGAUGGCUCAUUAAACCAGUGUUAAUCUAUCAGAUUAACAUAGACGGAUAUCCCAGGCAAAUCUUGGACUAAUACGCGCAACAUAACAGCUCUGACUUUCAUGGAAGGAGUGUGCUUACAAGUCCAAAACCAUCGCUUGAAACUUGUUUCUUGCUUUGAAAUUGAAGAAAUGUAACUUCACUGAUCGUAGCUCGUCACUACGACAUGUCUGAUAAGACACUGACCCAUCAACUUGAUAUUUGGCUAUAGCCCAGAUAUGGUUACAACGGGUAACGGGGAAUGAAGGUUCGAUUCCGGAGAGGCAGCCUGAGAAACGGCUACCGGUCCUAAGGGAGACAGCAGGCGCGAAAAUUACCCAAUGCUGACCUAGUGAGGUAGUGACGAUAAAUAACAAUCCGAGUAUCUUUGAUAUUUGGAAUUGGAAUGAGAAAACAUUAAAUCACUUAACGAAAUCAAUUGGAGGGCAAGUCUGGUGCCAGCAGCCGCGGUAAUUCCAGCUCCAAUAGCGUAUAUUUAAAUUGCUGCAGUUAAAACGCCCGUAGUCAAACUUCUUGGGGCAAGGUGGCAGAGUCAGUUCAAAUGUCUAUAUGGCAAACUUGCACUCUUAUUAAACCCCCCAUACAGCAGUUAAGUCUUUUAGCUCCGGGAUGAUAAACACCGUCAACAACUCGGCAGUACCAUCUAACUAGCACCUCUCGAUUCAGUAGGUGUGGCUAUUAGACGUUUACCUUGAUUUAAUCAAAGCGUUCAAAGCAGGCAAUAACAGCCCGAAUGUAUAAGCAUGGAAUAAUAAAAGAUGACCUUUGGUCCUUUUGUUGGUUUUAAGACCAUCGGUAAUGAUGAAAGGAGUAGGUUCGGGGCAUUAGUAUUUACUCGCUAGAGGUGAAAUUCUUGGAUUGAGUAAAGACUAUCUACAGCGAAAGCAUUUGUCAGGGACCUACUCGCCGAUCAAGGACGAAAGUUGGGGGAUCGAAGAUGAUUAGAUACCGUCGUAGUCCCAACAGUAAAUGUUGCCAACUCUGAGUUGGUGAAUAACUUACAAAAUCAUCAUCUCCCCCGAGAAAUCAUAAGUUU
rnacentral:rRNA from 1 species